rnacentral:tRNA from 1 species
GCGGGUGUAGCUCAGUGGUAGAGCAGUAGCUUCCCAAGCUACGGGUCGUGGGUUCAAUCCCCAUCGCCCGCUCCA